rnacentral:rRNA from 1 species
UACAGAGGGUGCAAACGUUGCUCGGAAUUAUUGGGCGUAAAGCGCGUGUAGGCGGCUUGUUAAGUUGGUUGUGAAAACCCAUGGCUCAACCAUGGAAGGGCGUCCAAAACUGGCAAGCUAGAGUCCCGACGAGGAUGGCGGAAUUCCCAGUGUAGAGGUGAAAUUCGUAGAUAUUGGGAGGAACACCGGUGGCGAAGGCGGCCAUCUGGGAGGGCACUGACGCUGAGACGCGAAAGCGUGGGGAGCAAACGGG